UCAGCUGGUUAGAGCGCACGCCUGAUAAGCGUGAGGUCGAUGGUUCGAGUCCAUUUAGGCCCA
rnacentral:tRNA from 1 species